rnacentral:rRNA from 1 species
AAUCAACGCUGGCGGCGUGCCUCAGACAUGCAAGUCGAACGCGAAAGUCCCCUUCGGGGGACAAGUAGAGUGGCGCACGGGUGAGUAACACGUGGGUAAUUUACCUUCGGGUGGGGAAUAACAGUCGGAAACGACUGCUAAUACCGCAUGAUGCAGCGGCACCACAUGGUGACAGUUGUUAAAGCGGGGGAUCGCAAGACCUCGCGCCUGAAGAGAAGCCCGCGGCAGAUUAGCUAGUUGGUAAGGUAAUGGCUUACCAAGGCAACGAUCUGUAGCCGGCCUGAGAGGGCGGUCGGCCACACUGACACUGAAUAACGGGUCAGACUCCUACGGGAGGCAGCAGUCGGGAAUUUUGGGCAAUGGGCGCAAGCCUGACCCAGCAACGCCG